GAACUCACUGAAACCUUGCGCACACUUUUUCUUUCUUUUCUUUCUUUUUCUCUCGAAAGGAUAUAGACCUUCACCUUGCACACAAGGAUUCCUCAUGCUCAGAUUUUCUCUCCAAAAUUUUUCUUUCACACGCCCCACUCUACUCCUUUUAAAAUAACAUCCAAGGUCUUAUCCACGUGAGAGGAUAAAGAUGAGUAAUUGCACAUUUGAAUUCAAAUCAAAUUUUGAAUUCAAAUGGAAACUAAUUUAUCCCUAUCNNN
rnacentral:lncRNA from 1 species